GGGCGAGUAGCUCAGUUGGUUAGAGCGCCUGCCUUACAAGCAGGAUGUCGGGGGUUCGAGUCCCUCCUUGCCCACCA
rnacentral:tRNA from 2 species